rnacentral:rRNA from 1 species
GACGAACCGUGCAACCGUUAUUCGGAAUCACUGGGCAUAAAGGGCGCGUAGGCGGCUUCCUAAGUCAGGGGUGAAAUCCGGCAGCUCAACUGUCGCAGUGCCUUUGAUACUGGGAAGCUCGAGGGAUGUAGGGGUCUGUGGAACUUCCGGUGGAGCGGUGAAAUGCGUUGAUAUCGGAAGGAACGCCGGUGGCGAAAGCGACGGACUGGACAUCUUCUGACGCUGAGGCGCGAAAGCCAGGGGAGCAAACGGG